AUGAUGGUCCUGAUUAUUAAUCCAUGUUAGACUCAAAUUUGCAAGCAACCGACAAUAUUGGGUAAAUUUCCUAACUCAAAAAAAGUCAAACCGGUCGGAUGCUAUAAGGUCAACAUUAGAGAUAAUUUUAACCACAUAAUCAAGAUUGAAAUCCAUUCUAAGAAGGCUCAUUAAAUUAAUUAUCGUUGAACCGUGAUAAUCCGACCCUAUUUUCAAGGGAGGGAUCUCCCUCAUUUAUUGGGGUUGCAUGGUGAAUUUUUUUUCGUAAUAUGUAUGGUAUGUAAUUUCAAUCUACAAAUAAACAAAUUUCUAACUCUCAAACUUAUCAUCUUU
rnacentral:lncRNA from 1 species